AUGGCCAUGUCAUCUUGCGAAGCAGAAUACAUAGUAGCAGCAAGAGCACCAAGUCAGGCUGUCUGGUUGAGCAAACUAUUGGCCGAGAUGAUCAUAGGAGAGGUACAGAGGGUGAAGCUGAAGGUUCACAACAGAUCUGCAUUUGAACUCAGCAAGAACCCAGUAGUCCAGUUUCCAGUACACCACAAGAGGAGCAAACACAUUGAUCUCAGGUAUCAUUACAUUCGUGAAUGUGUUAAGCCGGGCAAGGUGGACAUUGAGCACGUGCGAACCGGCGAUCAAGUUGCUGACAUUCUCAAUGCGUCGCUUGGAAGGGCUUAUUUCAUGGAACGCCGUCGCAAGCUCGGGAUCAGCCAGGUGCAGCAGAUUAGGCGGGUGAUUUGUUAG
rnacentral:rRNA from 1 species